AGUUAAUGAGCUUGAUAAAGCGUAUAUUUUGAAAAUAUAAGAUAGAAAUCCCAAUUUUUCUAUUAACUU
rnacentral:tRNA from 1 species